rnacentral:rRNA from 1 species
AACGAACGCUGGCGGCAGGCGUAACACAUGCAAGUCGAACGAGAUCUUCGGAUCUAGUGGCAGACGGGUGAGGAACACGUGGGAACAUCCCUUUCAGUUCGGAAUAACGUUGGGAAACUAACGCUAAUACCGGAUACGUCCUUCGGGAGAAAGAUUUAUCGCUGAAAGAUUGGCCCGCGUCUGAUUAGCUAGUUGGUGAGGUAAUGGCCCACCAAGGCUACGAUCAGUAGUUGAUCUGAGAGGAUGAUCAGCCACAUUGGGACUGAGACACGGCCCAAACUCCUACGGGAGGCAGCAGUGGGGAAUAUUGGACAAUGGGCGCAAGCCUGAUCCAGCCAUGCCGCGUGAGUGAUGACGGCCUUCGGGUUGUAAAGCUCUUUUGUCCGGGAAGAUAAUGACUGUACCGGAAGAAUAAGCCCCGGCAAACUUCGUGCCAGACGCCGCUGUAAAAC